rnacentral:rRNA from 1 species
CGCAAGUCUGAACCAGCCAUGUCGCGUGCAGGAUGACGGCCCUAUGGGUUGUAAACUGCUUUUUUACAGGAAUAAACGUUGCUACGUGUAGUAAUUUGAAUGUACUGUAUGAAUAAGGAUCGGCUAACUCCGUGCCAGCAGCCGCGGUAAUACGGAGGAUUCGAGCGUUAUCCGGAUUUAUUGGGUUUAAAGGGUCCGUAGGCGGUUCUUUAAGUCAGUGGUGAAAUCCCAGAGCUCAACUCUGGAACUGCCAUUGAAACUGAAGAACUUGAAUAUGGUUGAGGUAGGCGGAAUACGUUAUGUAGCGGUGAAAUGCAUAGAUAUAACGUAGAACACCAAUUGCGAAGGCAGCUUACUAAACCAUUAUUGACGCUGAUGGACGAAAGCGUGGGGAGCGAACAGGAUUAGAUACCCUGGUAGUCC